UUAAUCAAAAUCAGAGAAGGGUUUUCCUCUCUUUCUCUCUCUAUCUCUUCUUCUCUCUAUCUCUACUUCAUCUCCAAUUCACCAUGUUUACAUGGUAUCAGAGCGUGGUCCUCCCUCUCGGAUAUAUCCUUUAUCUUCUCGGUUCUUCCGGUUUGGGUUUAUUGUAUUGUCGGUGGUAAUUUCUGGAUUUUUCAAGUUGUUGGUGAUGAUUCUGGAUUUUUUGAUCUGUUGGAGAAAUCGGAGAUGGUUUGUUGGUUGAUUCUUCAAGCGUGGUGUUAGGGUGAAUUUCCGACACCUCUUGUGCCUGAUUCCGCCGGCUUCUCUGAAAGCUAGGGUUUUCUAUGAACGAAGCUAGGGUUUCUCUGCAAGCUAGGGUUUUCUCCGGUAGCGUAGAAGUCUGGUAACCCUAUUCUCACUCCCGAUUAGAGCUUGCAUGUGUUUUUGUUGCUGGAAUAUUUGCUGUAUUGUGUAGUUCAUAGAUAUUGAAUCACUUUCCUCUCAUCAUUAUUGUUCUGUUUCUGAUGGCAAAUAUGAACCCUAUUAAUCCCCCACCUAUUGACCCUACAAGUCCUAUCUUUGUUUACUCUUCU
rnacentral:lncRNA from 1 species